GUCGACGGUAACAGGUCCUUCGGGAUGCUGACGAGUGGCGGACGGGUGAGGAAUGCAUCGGAAUCUGCCUGUUUGUGGGGGAUAACGCAUGGAAACGUGCGCUAAUACCGCAUACGUCCUUUUGUCGGGAGAUGAUUGGAGAAAGUGGGGGACCUUCGGGCCUCACGCGAACAGAUGAGCCGAUGUCGGAUUAGCUGGUUGGUGGGGUAAAGGCCUACCAAGGCGACGAUCCGUAGCUGGUCUGAGAGGAUGAUCAGCCACACUGGAACUGAGACACGGUCCAGACUCCUACGGGAGGCAGCAGUGGGGAAUAUUGGACAAUGGGGGCAACCCUGAUCCAGCCAUGCCGCGUGUGUGAAGAAGGCCCUUGGGUUGUAAAGCACUUUUGUUGGGGAAGAAAAGUUUUCGGUGAAUAACUGGAGACGCUGACGGUACCCAAAGAAUAAGCACCGGCUAACUUCGUGCCAGCAGCCGCGGUAAUACGAAGGGUGCAAGCGUUACUCGGAAUCACUGGGCGUAAAGGGUGCGCAGGCGGCCUGCCAAGUCUGAUGUGAAAGCCCUGGGCUCAACCUGGGAACGG
rnacentral:rRNA from 1 species